CCGGAUUUAUUGGGCGUAAAGAGCGUGUAGGCGGCUUGGUAGGUCCGCUGUGAAAACUCGAGGCUCAACCUCGAGAUGUCGGCGGAAACCACUUGGCUAGAGUCCGGAAGAGGAGAGUGGAAUUCCUGGUGUAGCGGUGAAAUGCGCAGAUAUCAGGAAGAACACCUAUGGCGAAGGCAGCUCUCUGGGACGGUACUGACGCUGAGACGCGAAAGCGUGGGGAGCGAACAGG
rnacentral:rRNA from 1 species